UCCUUGAGCCACAGGCGCUGCCCUGUCUUGUCAUUUUUCAAUGGUAUCUUUCGUAGACAAAAGUUUCUAAUUUUGGUGUGUUUCUCACAUAAGUUUAACAUUUCCCACAGGGGCACAGAACAUUGCUGAUGAGACAGGAUCCACCAGUCAGUGGACGCGUGCAGAGGACUGGUUCACAGCUGACUAGCCAAGGAACCCUAUGUCAGCAUUUCUCUCCAGUGUAGACGGCCGGACUCACUCAGGCUGCAUUUCCUGCAGAACCUCUCCAGGAGACUUCAGGACCUACACAUGUCGCACCUGUCUAGACCUCGAAGGCCUUUGAAGGAGACCUCCUGAUGAAAAGUGAAGAAGAAUUUUAGCUGAGUUCUGCUCCUGGGAGUUGAAGAUGGUAGGCAAGGCAGAAGUUGUGCAUUGUACCUGUGAUGGCGAUUUUUCACUGACAGGCAUCACUGAGGGCCCAGCAUGUCCCCUAGGGGACCCUGCUAGCCCUGGAGGAAGACAAGAUAAAUAAAACAUGCCUUAUCCACUUAAGAAGCUCCAUUUUCUCAUCAUUCUCCUGAUGUGAGCAACAGAUUUCAAGUGCAGCAUUAUUAGAUAAUAUGCAAUCCACACUUUUAACCAAGACACCUGGGGACAGUUCUGUAACAGCCAAGAAUUUUUCAUCUCUCCUUGAAACCACAAUAACUCUUCAUAAGUCAAGGUCUCUGUUCUACAACCAGGAUUUAAGGCAGUGGUGUCCAACAUGAGGUGAACAAGAAGAUGCACGUGGAGCACCAGAGGAAAAUACUCUAUGUGCCUUAAUAUUCCUUUUAGUGGGUCCUUUUAAUGUUUCUGUUAUUGGGACUGUG